UUCGCAAUGCCCGAAAGGGUGACGAAGCGACGCCGCGUGAGUGAGGAAGGCCUUCGGGUUGUAAAGCUCUGUCAGGAGUUAAGAAAUAUAAGUGUGCUAAUACCAUAUUUAUUUGACGAAGGCUCCAAAGGAAGCCACGGCUAACUCUGUGCCAGCAGCCGCGGUAAUACAGAGGUGGCAAGCGUUGUUCGGAAUUAUUGGGCGUAAAGAGCACGUAGGUGGGUUUGUAAGUCAGAUGUGAAAGCCUUCUGUUCAACGGAAGAAUUGCAUCUGAAACUGCGAGUCUUGAGUGUAGGAGGGGAGAAUGGAACUUCUGGUGGAGCGGUGAAAUGCGUAGAUAUCAGAAGGAACGCCGGCGGCGAAAGCGAUUCUCUGGCCUAUUACUGACACUCAGUGUGCGAAAGCUAGGGGAGCAAACGGGAUUAGAUACCCCGGUAGUCCUAGCCGUAAACGAUGGGCACUAAGUAGAGGGGUUUU
rnacentral:rRNA from 1 species